rnacentral:lncRNA from 1 species
UUUCGGAUUGAAGGAAAAUUGGGCUGGACUGUUCUGCUCAUGUUAAUUGAUGGAGCUAAAUGUAUUGCCUGGCGGAAGAUUAGUAUAAUAGAAAAAUGGGGUAGGGUUGCUCGUCCGUUCCGUAUAGGUAAGGUUUGUAAUUUGGAAUACCGAGCAAGUUCUCAAGUAGUGACACCCUGAAGUUUCAUUCUAAUUUCAUCAGGUGUUUGGUGCAUGAGGAGAUUUUUCAUAGUAAUCAUAACACUUCCUUUCCAUACAGCAAGAUGAAACUAAAUAUUUUGUUCAUAGUAAUCAUACCUAUUCCUUUCAAGCUGAAACUAGACACAUCCUCAUCAGGUAAAUUGAUUCAUGUUCUUACUUCAUGUCCAGACAGCAAGACGAAACUAAAUACUUUUGCUAGCGUAUUUGUUGGAUCUUGAUUUUCGUAUAUGUUUAGAUUUGUCUUACACAUGUUUAAGAACCAGAUUCAGAGUAUUGCCAAGGGAUAGCCCAACGUCUUCUUGUGAAACUAGAUUAAUUGUACAAGAUUGAAUGUGACAAAACAUUAUACAUGAUAAUCGUUUCUUUGAAGUUUGAAGGUGGCACAUGACAUCUUUUCAAUUAUAUAUUCAUUUAAUUCAGUUGGAGAGGAAUAAAUUAUGUUAAGAAUCAGUACCAUGAUAUUUUAGUAUGAUUGGUCCUUUUGGAGUACAUUCAUAACACAAAAGAAUUGUUUGGUGGCCUCAUACAUUUUUCUCGUGCCUACCUUUGCAGCACAUCAGUGACAACAUGCUUGGCCAUAUGUCUCAAUUUCGGUGUCUGAAAGCACAAGAUUAGAUGACUUUUCAGAUGAUCGGAGACACGGUAAGGUCUCUAUAUUAAAGUUAUUAUGAGUCAACCUAAUAUUUUAUUCUGUUUAUUGCAAACAGAACCAGAAUCCAAGAUACGAAUACGCAAUUUAGAACCUUUAUGUGGUGUGAACAAGAUGAACAACAGAAGAGAAUGGUGAGGGAAUCGGAAUUAAAUGGAAAACAGGGUUAGCGGCUCAGAUCAGCGACAUGAACUCCUCGAUUUUCCCUAUUGUAUUAGCCCAAGUACGGAGUAUCUUUAUCCUGCUCUCGCCAGUGGGAUACGAAACGCACUCUUCCAUCCAGUUCCUCCACCCGGUCAACCCAAGUACAUUGCAAACGAUGUUUGCUUGUAGGGAAGCAUCAUUGAAUUAAAUGUAUUUACGAGUUAUAAAUGUUAAGUAUGUGGAUACUUUUCCCCCGUUGCAACGCACGGGCAUUUUGUAUUGGGUUGUCCUGGUGUUGCAACCUAGGAAGUACAAACAGGGUCCGUCGUCACCAUAGAUGAAAACCUUGUCGAGCCUUACUUUUUGCAGGUUGCCUUAUUUCUGUUUCUUUUAGAGAAAAGAUAGCAAUUUCGUUCAUUACAAUCCUGUUGCACGGACCCUGCUAGAUCGCGGUGCGUCGAGAUCAUAAUUGCUACACUCAAAGGUUACAUUGACCAUAUUGCUG